rnacentral:pre_miRNA from 1 species
CAUGCACCAGUGGGGUUCCUCGGCCUGGCCUGUGGGAUCAGGCUGAAACCGGCUCUCCGACAUCCUCUGAAGGGUCCCAGAUAGUGAGAGGGUGCAGGCCAGGCCGAGGGACCCCACUGGUGCACG